AGCCUGAUGAAUAUAUACGUUUGCAAUUUCCUUUGAAAUCUGCACAGAAAAUAGGAGUCAACCCUAAAUUCAAAUAAAUCACUGCAAAGACUCACUGGCUGACAAGUAUAUCUUGCCUGAAUGUGCCUGGUUGUGUGCAUAUGUGUCUACUCAUUCCUGUGGCUGACAAGCUGCUUGGCCGCGAGGUGCUUCAUUGUACAUUUUUGUUCAUGGCCCUGAACCAAGCAGGUGAGUUAUAUUUCUGCUUAAGGUCCCCGGCCUUUAAAUUCUUUGAAGUGGGACUGGGAGAAGGGCAAUUACCAACUGUAUGCGUGGAGAUCUCUAAUGGGGUUUCCCCGUCUUUUUGUAGCUGAGCAAUACUAAAGAAAAUUCUUGUCGUUUGCCCCACAGGUAAGCUAAUAGGUAGUCACCCACAAGCAAGGUAUUUGCUUGCUAGUUGCACUUAGAGCCAUGUGAGAAUAUGAAUCUAGAUAGUCACCAAUUAUGUCACUCAGUGAGUGAGCUGACUAGAUUAGGCAUAGAGAAGAUAUUAAUUAUGCCUUGCUAAUGACUGUGAGGUAAUGUUUGCCUUUCUUUAUAUAGCUGUUCAGAGUGGUAGGAGGUAACUGUGCUGCUGUGGGAUAGCUUGUGAACUGGAUUGACGAUACUGGGUUGAGGGAGUGGUUGUGGGAUAGUUUCUGGAAAUGUGUGGUGGUAAAUACUUAUGUGAGCACAUUAGCACAGUGCCUGCAAAAUGCUGACACUGAUAGGUGAUUUAUGUGAAGAUCUCCAUGAAUGUAACUAAAAUGAUGGUGGCUGAAAAAGACAUAGUAACAAGGACAGGUAGGAUACAGAUGUCACUAGGCCCCCCUGCCUGAAGUGAUAAUCAGUGAAUUGGCUUUUGAGACUGGAAAUACACCGAAAAUGUUGAGGCUGAGGAAUGCGGUGUAUUCAGGAGCAAUAGCAGGCUGUAAUACGGAGAUGUGGUGUCAAGUGGGAAGUACUGUUGAUGGCACU
rnacentral:lncRNA from 1 species